UCUUGGUCGGUUUCAAUCGAAUCUAUCGAUUUUUUAAAAAAAUUGAAUCGAUUCGAUAGAUCGAUUGUUUGGGAUAUAUAACCUCAAAUUUAUGUGCGCCGCGCGCGCUGAAGCCGAGCUGAAAGUGAUCAAAUUUUGGCUCCAUUAUUCCCUUUGUCUGGAUUUUUACAACCCAUUUUUUUAAUAUGUAAAUAGUUUCUUCGAAUGUUUCAUCAUCAUGAGUUUUAAAACUAUUGGUGUCAAAUUGGAUGGUGUACCGACUGAUAUUGUAAUUGGAAACUUUACAAAUAACAUUUUCAUUGUGCUAACACAAGUGAAAAAAUUCGGGUCCAUUAUCAGUGUAAAGCCAGAGGCAUUUAAAACAGCAGAAGGACAGCAACAAGUAUACGACGUCAGGAACCUAUUAGGCCUUGAAAAAGAAAGUUCGCUAGUAGCAGCAAGAUUUCUUGCGGAGCAGUUAGAAGUCCCGAAGCCAAUUAUCUUUUCAAUCAGUCUCAAAGAUGAUAGUCCACGAGUACUGAAGAGCAUUAAAAAAGUUCUGCUCGACAAUAAAUGUUGGUGAUUUUCUUCUGAAG
rnacentral:lncRNA from 1 species